CUUUCUUGGAGAGUUUGAUCCUGGCUCAGGACGAACGCUGGCGGCGUGCCUAAUACAUGCAAGUCGAGCGGACUUGAUGGAGAGCUUGCUCUCCUGAUGGUUAGCGGCGGACGGGUGAGUAACACGUAGGCAACCUGCCUGCAAGACCGGGAUAACCCACGGAAACGUGAGCUAAUACCGGAUAUCUCAUUUCCUCUCCUGAGGAGAUGAUGAAAGACGGAGCAAUCUGUCACUUGCGGAUGGGCCUGCGGCGCAUUAGCUAGUUGGUGAGGUAACGGCUCACCAAGGCGACGAUGCGUAGCCGACCUGAGAGGGUGAACGGCCACA
rnacentral:rRNA from 1 species